AUACGGAGGAUGCAAGCGUUAUCCGGAUUUAUUGGGUUUAAAGGGUGCGCAGGCGGCGCGUUAAGUCAGUGGUGAAAUGUCCCGGCUCAACCGGGGAACUGCCGCUGAUACUGACGUGCUCGAGUACGGACGGCGCCGGCGGAAUGUGUCAUGUAGCGGUGAAAUGCUUAGAUAUGCCACAGAACACCGAUCGCGAAGGCAGCUGGCGAGGCCGGUACUGACGCUCAGGCACGAAAGCGUGGGGAUCAAACAGGAUUAGAUACCCUGGUAGUCCACGCAGUAAACGAUGAGGACUUGUUGUCGGCGAUAGAGUGUCGGUGACAAAGCGAAAGCGAUAAGUCCUCCACCUGGGGAGUACGAUCGCAAGGUUGAAACUCAAAUGAAUUGACGGGG
rnacentral:rRNA from 1 species